CAGGGAGAGGACAAAAAAUUGGAAUAGGAAAAAUGUUGAUUGCAUAUGUUGCUAUUGAAACUGUGAAGUCAAAUAAGCAUGGUUUAUGCAGACAUGUGAUAGAGAUAGUCGAAGAAAAAAUAAUAAUAGUGGGUACCAAAUAUCAUAAACUAAACAUGAUUCAAUAACAAGUAGCUCAGCCAAUAUCGAAACUACUCUAUAAAUUUUAUAGUUAAUUUUUUUAUUUGAAACUCAAUGUGUCAGCUUUUGGUUUAAGUUUAGUGUUUGCAAUGUGUAUAUUUAACUGAGAAAUUAUGUUAAAUAAAUAAAUUUUUAUACUUGUAUCA